CUCUUGACAGGUCUGUGAGGAUGAGAAGGUCUCCACAGUCUGGAGUCUGGUCUCUGACAGGCUCAACAUACCUGUCAAUCAACAGGGACUCCUCUACAAAGGCAAGGCGCUGGCAGAUGAGCACAGACUGUCGCACGACUCCAUCGCUCCCGAUUCCAAGCUGAACUCGUUGUGACGCCCCCAACAGAGAAAAUGUCACCCGAGCAAGAACAGCACUCCGUGUCACCCCUCCUCUCAGACCUCACCCUCGCCACACCCCUCCUCUCACCCCUCGCCUCACCCCUCCUGUCACCCCUCGCCCUUCCUCUCACCCCUCGUCUCGCCCCUCCUCUCACACCUCCUCUCACGCCUCGCCUCACCCCGGGUCAGUGUGGCACAGCCUGUCUGCUCUUCUGAACAAACACUUCAGCCCUGCCGACGCAGUGAGAGUCUGGAGCAGCAACACAAGGAUUACGAGCGGAGGCUGUGCUUGUUGAGCCUGGAUGAUAUGGAGCGGCUGGCGACCCGCAUGCUUCACCCUGAGGCUGGGGAGUGCAUGGAGCUGUCCUUCCUGGACUGAGGAAUACUGCUGCUGCCCUCUCCACCUCUCCCCUCUCCACCCUCUUCUCCUCCCCCUCUCCCCUCUCUCUCCUCUCCUCUUUACUCUCUGCUCCCCCUCUCCUCUCCUUACUUUGUUUAAAAGAAUAGAAGCACACCCAGUGAGCAAGGCAUUGAGCAGCCCCACAUCCCGCUUCACAAUACCGCUACAUAUUGACUGACUGUUCGCAUCGUGUGUGUUUGGUAAGACAAACCACAUUUUCUCCUUUCUGCUAUUUUAAAAGGAGCCCAGUUUGGUGCAGGAGGCUUGUGGGUAACAGAGUGUGUUUUUGCUGGGGACUGCAGCCCUUCCAUUACCAUUGCUCGUAGAGGGGAGAUUGUUUUACUUUCAAGCCUUUUUCUUUAAUAAAUCCGGACGUUUGGAAAUACA